UUUUCCAAGAUAAUAAUUUCUCUGUUUUUGAAUUUAGGAGUAUCCUGUUGAUCUGAAGUAUGAAAAAGGAAAGGGAUUGAGUUGGAUUUGGAACGAAACGGUAGAAAGCGUGUGAGAUUCACUGAUUGUGUAGGCAAUCAUCUGAUUCAUUAGCCGCUGCAGAGGAAGAUGCCGUGGAGAUAUUGAAAUGUAGAAGCAAGAAGACAUUCAUGUCUGCAGAAAGUCAUAUUUCAUUCAAAAUUUUUAUUUACAGAAGCAUAUCAAGUGAUAGAAAUCAUAAAAAUUGAUCCGUUAUGUGCUUGAUAUUAUAACACGUGGAUUAGCCCAAUGUGCUUGAUAUUAUAAUACGUGGAUUAGCUCAAUGGCGGCGAUUUGUUCAUAAUUUCUUUCUUUUGGUCGACUUAAAGUUGAGACUCAUUCCAUACACAUCGGGUAGUAUUACAAAAUCA